CUUGUAUUGGACUGGAUUACCUGUGUCCCUGUCACCAACCCUGCCUGCCUUGUCUUUGUGGAUGUGCUUGAGAUUUGUCUUGUGACCUCCUGGAGGGAUCUGAGCCGUAAUUUGGGACCCGCAGGACUACACAACCUGACUAUAAGCUUCACCUCCAGCAGCUACAAUGGUCAAACUUUCAUCAGGGACUCCUGACUGUGGAACAGCUCAUCAGUCGCAUCCUCCGGUCCUGCCCAGAGCUUAUGGGAAGACAUAUACAAAAUAUGGAGUACAUCAUUCAGUUUUUGUUUUGUUAGCUCUAAUUUUGUACUUAUGGAGUAAAUGCCAAGAGAAAUGGUGGACAAAGGAGAUGAGUAUAUGUUUAAAAAAUAUUAAGAGUGAGCCCUUUGAAAAAAUAAUUACAGGUAAAAUGAGCUUUUACAACAAAAGA